CCAGCCAGAAGCAACAUGUAGAUCUAAUGACCUUCUCCAGGAGUCGAGGACCCACUACCUCGCUGAAUUCUCAGAGUCAAAAUGCGUCUCUACCUGCUGGUCCCAGAACAGUCCCCUGCUGCUGCAUUGAAUGAAUCUCAUCUCACUUCCUCGAGUCAGCCCUACCUAUAUUUGAUGAUCACAAACCUUAUCCUUACGUUGCCAGCAGUAACAUUCUGCAUCCCUCACCCACUCCACUGUGUCCUUUUCCUCCCACUGAUCUUCACUCUGCCUUUUCUAGGGGAACUCUGAACAGUAUUUCUGAGAAGGGUGCUGGCAUCUCUUCAUCCCUAGAGUGAUGCUGCCAUCUCCGUCUUGAAUGUCUCUGCUGACAUGACCUGCUAAACUUGAACUCAUAGGCGGGGCAAUCGCUUGAGCCCAGGAGUUCAAAAC
rnacentral:lncRNA from 10 species